AUUGAACGCUGGCGGCAGGCCUAACACAUGCAAGUCGAGCGGCAGCGGGACCUUCGGGUUGCCGGCGAGCGGCGGACGGGUGAGUAAGGCCUAGGAAUCUGCCCGUUAGUGGGGGAUAACGCGGGGAAACUCGCGCUAAUACCGCAUACGUCCUACGGGAGAAAGCGGGGGCUCUUCGGACCUCGCGCUAACAGAUGAGCCUAGGUCGGAUUAGCGAGUUGGUGGGGUAAUGGCCCACCAAGGCGACGAUCCGUAACUGGUCUGAGAGGAUGGUAAGUCACACUGGAACUGGGACACGGUCCAGACUCCUACGGGAGGCAGCAGUGGGGAAUAUUGGACAAUGGGCGAAAGCCUGAUCCAGCCAUGCCGCGUGUGUGAAGAAGGUCUUCGGAUUGUAAAGCACUUUAAGUCGGGAGGAAGGGCUGUAGGCUAAUACCUUGCAGUUUUGACGUUACCGACAGAAUAAGCACCGGCUAACUUCGUGCCAGCCGCCGCAGUAA
rnacentral:rRNA from 1 species